AUUGAACGCUGGCGGCAUGCCUUACACAUGCAAGUCGAACGGCAGCACGGGAGCAAUCCUGGUGGCGAGUGGCGAACGGGUGAGUAAUAUAUCGGAACGUGCCCGGUCGUGGGGGAUAACGUAGCGAAAGCUACGCUAAUACCGCAUACGAUCUACGGAUGAAAGCGGGGGAUCGCAAGACCUCGCGCGAUUGGAGCGGCCGAUAUCAGAUUAGGUAGUUGGUGAGGUAAAGGCUCACCAAGCCGACGAUCUGUAGCUGGUCUGAGAGGACGACCAGCCGACACUGGGACUGAGACACGGCCCAGACUCCUACGGGAGGCAGCAGUGGGGAAUUUU
rnacentral:rRNA from 1 species